rnacentral:rRNA from 1 species
AAACUAGGAUUAGAUACCCUAUUAUGCCUAGCCGUAAACAUUGAUAGAAUUUUACACCCUCUAUCCGCCUGGGUACUACGAGCAUUAGCUUGAAACCCAAAGGACUUGGCGGUACUUUAGAUCCCCCUAGAGGAGCCUGUUCUAUAACCGAUGACCCCCGUUCAACCUCACCCUCCCUUGUUUCUCCCGCCUAUAUACCGCCGUCGUC